rnacentral:rRNA from 1 species
CGUCUAUAUACGUAUAGCAUAUCAAUAAGCGGAGGAAAAGAAACUAACAAGGAUUCCCCUAGUAACGGCGAGUGAAGCGGGAAGAGCUCAAAUUUGAAAUCUUCAAGGUUUUACCUUGACGAAUUGUAGUUUAAAGAAGUGUUUUCUGUUAGAGAGUUUGGUAAAAGUUCUUUGGAAUAGGACAUCAUAGAGGGUGAGAAUCCCGUAUUUGACCAUUACUUUCCAGCUGUGUGAUACACUUUCAAAGAGUCGGAUUGUUUGGGAAUGCAGUCCAAAAUGGGUGGUAAAUUUCAUCUAAAGCUAAAUAUUGGCGAGAGACCGAUAGCGAACAAGUACCGUGAGGGAAAGAUGAAAAGAACUUUGAAAAGAGAGUUAAACAGUACGUGAAAUUGUCAAAAGGGAAGCGUUUGACACCAGUGUUGUUUUCUCGAAAAUCAAUUAAGAAUGUGUGAUUUUGUAGGUAGUAUUGACUUUAUCAGGCUUGCUGCACUUUCUUUCCGAAUCUUUUUUAAUGCACUUUUCGGUUAACAAGUCAACAUCAAUUUCUUUUGUUGUAAAAGAGGUCAUUGAGGAAGGUGGCUUUCAUUUCGGAUGAAAGUGUUUAUAGCCUUUGACUUCUGCAAUCGGAGAGAUUGAGGUCUGCAGCGUAGAUCCUUCGGGGUUAGAUACAUUUGUGCUAAGUUAUAGUCUUUCAUAGACAACAUUGUUGACUAUGAUCAGUCAUGUAGCUUACUCGCUUAUGUCUAUUUUACCUACGCUUAGGAUGUUGAUAGUCACAGCGUGUAC